AUCCAUCUGACAAGUCCCAAAUAGGAUGAAACGCGCAUCCUGGAU
rnacentral:hammerhead_ribozyme from 1 species